rnacentral:rRNA from 1 species
UACGAAGGGGGCUAGCGUUGCUCGGAAUCACUGGGCGUAAAGGGUGCGUAGGCGGGUCUUUAAGUCAGGGGUGAAAUCCUGGAGCUCAACUCCAGAACUGCCUUUGAUACUGAAGAUCUUGAGUUCGGGAGAGGUGAGUGGAACUGCGAGUGUAGAGGUGAAAUUCGUAGAUAUUCGCAAGAACACCAGUGGCGAAGGCGGCUCACUGGCCCGAUACUGAGGCACGAAAGCUAGGGGAGCAAACAGG